UACAGAGGGGGCAAGCGUUGUUCGGAAUUACUGGGCGUAAAGGGCGCGUAGGCGGCCUGUUAAGUCGAACGUGAAAUCCCUAGGCUCAACCUAGGAACUGCGUCCGAUACUGGCAGGCUUGAAUCCGGGAGAGGGAUGCGGAAUUCCAGGUGUAGCGGUGAAAUGACGUAGAUAUCUGGAGGAACACCGGUGGCGAAGGCGGCAUCCUGGACCGACACUGACGCUGAGGAGCGAAAGCCAGGGGAGCAACGGG
rnacentral:rRNA from 1 species